rnacentral:tRNA from 1 species
GCCCGGUUAGCUCAGUCCGUAGAGCAUUUGACUUUUAAUCUGAGGGUCAAGGGUUCAAGUCCCUUAUCGGGCU